UACGUAGGUAGCGAGCGUUGUUCGGAGUUACUGGGCGUAAAGGGUGUGUAGGCGGUUGUUUAAGUUUGGUGUGAAAUCUCCCGGCUCAACCGGGAGGGUGCGCCGAAUACUGAAUGACUCGAGUGCGGGAGAGGAGAGUGGAAUUCCUGGUGUAGCGGUGAAAUGCGUAGAUAUCAGGAAGAACACCAAUGGCGAAGGCAGCUCUCUGGGACGGUACUGACGCUGAGACGCGAAAGCGUGGGGAGCGAACAGG
rnacentral:rRNA from 1 species